CAUGGCUCAAGGCAAAGAACUCCAAGAUGGUAAAACUAGGAUCGACAGAUCCCAGAUUCCUAAUGUCACUGACUGAAGGAGUGACAGCUAGAGCAGCAGCCUCACCCGAUGAACGGUGAUGUUUUCUCUAGGACACAGGAAAUAUCUGGAUUGUUUUGUUUUGUUUCAUUUUAGUCCAAUCUGAGGAUAUCUUUCUUUUGACUGGGUUUCUUUGCUUUUUGCAGUGGAAUGGUUUUUCAGACUCUAUAGUCCACCAUUUUGUCAUCAUAAAUGAAAGUCCACAUUGUCUCUUCAUUCUGUUGAAUUCUAUCCUCACGAUAAAAUCUUGAGAGUGGUACUACUUAACUGCAUCAGAGAGCUUAAGAAUUUUUAUAGCUGUUCACAUACAUUGUUGGAUUGCUUCCCAGCCAUUCUCUUCUUGAGUGCAGGUCUGAGAAAUUGAACUUGAACUGGCUGUAAGGAAAGCUACGAAACCACUUCACACCAUGGGACCCCCACAAGACUCAAGAACUGGCAACAGCAAACAAGUUACCUUUGGAAGUGAAGGGUGAAGGGAAAGGAUUUGGCUGAAAAUCUGUGUAAGAAGAAAUUAGAACACCAAAUCCCUUCCCCACUGUUACGGGUUGAAUUGUGUCCUGUCCUCUCCCUGGGAAAAGAUGUUUUGAAGUCCUACCUCAGAAUGUGACCUUAUUUGGAAAUAGAGUUGUGGCAGAUGUAAUUAGUUAAAAUGAGGUCAUACAAGAUAGGGUGGGCCCCUAAUCCGUUUGGACUGGUGUCUUCAACAGAAUCGUUAAAACAGGAAUUGAAGGGGUUGCGUCUACAGAUCAGAAAAUCGGGGAAAGAGAGGUAGAGCCUAGUGGAUUUUAUAUAAUCAUUGUAGAACUAUUUGACCUUUAAGACUCUGUGCAAGUAUGAAUUUUAUUUUAAAAACUAAAAAAAUAAAUGUAAACACAAGAAAGCAGGAGAAUUGUUGGGACAGAGAGACAAGAGUGUGCCAGAAUAGACAAUUCUUAGCUUGCUCAAGCUGGUUGUGAAAUUUCUGGAAAUUUCAUGAACCACUUGUUAAAUACAGCCAUUAUUAAAAAAGAAAUUGUAUAAGCUUAUGAUUGAGUAAAUUAUUAUAUUAAAAGCACAGUUAGUUACUCAAAACUCAUCACUUCUGGAGCACCUGUGUCACUCAGUGAGUUAAGUGUCUGCCUUCGGCUCAGGUCAUGAUCCCGGAGUCCUGG